CAGCUGCAAGUUGAUAAUUCAACCCCAUUCAUCACAAAAACUUGUAUCAUGCCAAGCUUGUCAUCUCCAUCACAAUUGACAAUUCCAAAUCCAGUCAUCCUAGACGGAACCAAAUCACCUCUGAUCUGAUGAAAUCCAAGCCGACCUCUCCAGUCAUCCUAGACGGAACCAAAUCACCUCCGAUCUGAUGAAAUCAAAGCCGACAUCGCCAGCCAGAGAUCUCCGCCAAACCUCACUACGUCACCUUGAUCAUCAAAUUCUCCACCAUCAUCUAUGGUUGCAUCAACUAAAUCAAGUGAAAAUUUGAUAUGGGUUAUUUUGAUUUUCUUAAAUUUUGAUGGAUGGUGCCAAGUUUAGUAGGUUGAUUGGGUUUAGAAGGAUUGUUGAAAUGGAAUUGAUUCAUGGGAACAAGCAGGGGCGGAUCUACACUAUAAGUGGGGCGGGCUCAAGCCCGUCUGAGAUUUUUGGGUUUUAAAAAAAAAUUAGAUGUAUGCUUUUUUUUUUAGUUGCCUAUUGUCCAGCCCAAGCCCGUCCUAAUUCCUAAACCCACUCCUGACUGGCAGACUCCAGUUCACUCGACUAGUCGACAUCGAGUCUUCGACUACGCUCCAGCCUCCAGUUCGUCUAAUCGUCUCUCCUCGGCUCCUCCUCCUCCUCUAAACUUCUGCAGCUCUGGCAUUCUCGGCUUCUCCACUUCUCUCAGAGAUCAAGACAUCAACAUCAAUUUGGGGCAAUGAUUCAAUGUUGUAUUAGAUUGAAGAUUUCGUGGAUUGAAGAAUGAAGGUUGCGGUCAAAUUCUCUUGGUUUGGAAAUCUGAUGCUAGAAAUGGUGCAAUGUAUGGCCCUUGGCAUUCAAGUAAAUGGACCCCUGGUUCACAUUCUUGUUGUGAGAAUUGUGAGUUUGAUAAUGCACAUACAGUUGGCCACACUGACUUAGGCCACUGAACACAUGAAGUUGUUUGUCAGAAAGCACAAGCAUCUUUUAUGGUCCUAGCAUAGCAUGUGAUAUAGUUCAAUUGUAUCUCUUUUUGUAUAUACAGUAGCUUUUGUAUUGCAGAAGUUGUGUUAGAAGACUCCCUAUGAGUAGUUUUGUAUAGAUAUGCA